CAGCCAAGGGUGUCUGCAUCGGACAACACUCAACUCGGGAUUGGCACCCAGCCAGUGCCCUACACUAUACAAGAUGCCACUGUAGGGACAGGGAUGACCUCUAGCAAGGUGACCCUCAGUGGGCCAGAGGGGGCUUCUGAAGAGAAUUUCUCUAGCUUCUUGGUGUUUCCUGCCUGCUACUUUCAAACAAGGGUCCCAUUUUUAAUGUUUUCCCAGUAAUACCUUAUGAAUGUUAUUGCAAAGGCACGCCCCUCCUGUAGAUCCCAGUUUCUCUUUCUGCCAAAAAGGGGGCAGACCUGCGGGCUAAAUCAACACCACAGGCCCCGUGAUCAAUAUAUGUGAUGAGGACAUUACAUCCUGGUGUUGUUGCCCCAAGUCUUGACGUGAAUCUGACCACAAGGACAAUUCGGACAACCUGAAAUGGUGACGCAUUCUACAAAAUAAACAUCAAUGUCAUGAAAGACAAAGACUCAAGAUUUUCUGCUUAAUGGAGACUAAAGAGAUGCGACAACAGAAUGCCAGGCAUGAUCUUGGAUAUUCUUUUGGCUCAAACAGUCUUAGGACAAUUGAAAAAACGUGAAUGAGGUCUGUAGCUAAUAGAAUUGUGUCAAUGCCACAUCCUUGGUUUUGUUAAUUGCAUUGUGGUUACAGAAGAGAAUCCCUUUGUUUUCAGGAAAUGCACACAGCAGUAUUUAAUAGUAAAGGCACAUCUUGUCUGCAACUUCCUCUCUGUGUG
rnacentral:lncRNA from 1 species